UACGUAGGCAGCGAGCGUUGUUCGGAGUUACUGGGCGUAAAGCGUGCGUAGGCGGUUUUGUAAGUUUGGUGUGAAAUCUCCCGGCUCAACUGGGAGGGUGCGCCGAAAACUGCAAGGCUGGAGUGUGGGAGAGGUAGGCGGAAUUCCUGGUGUAGCGGUGAAAUGCGUAGAUAUCAGGAGGAACACCUGUGGUGUAGACGGCUUACUGGACCAUGACUGACGCCGAGGCACGAAAGCGUGGGGAGCAAACAGG
rnacentral:rRNA from 1 species